rnacentral:rRNA from 1 species
GCUUAGAGUUUGAUCCUGGCUCAGGAUGAACGCUGGCGGCGUGCUUAACACAUGCAAGUCGAACGGUCUCUUCGGAGAUAGUGGCGGACGGGUGAGUAACGCGUGAGAAUCUGCCUUUAGGUUCGGGACAACAGUUGGAAACGACUGCUAAUACCGAAUGUGUCGCAAGAUGAAAGAUUUAUUGCCUAAAGAUGAGCUCGCGUCUGAUUAGCUAGUUGGUGGGGUAAAAGCGUACCAAGGCGACGAUCAGUAGCUGGUCUGAGAGGAUGAUCAGCCACACUGGGACUGAGACACGGCCCAGACUCCUACGGGAGGCAGCAGUGGGGAAUUCUCCGCAAUGGGCGAAAGCCUGACGGAGCAACGCCGCGUGAGGGAGGAAGGCUUUUGGGUUGUAAACCUCUUUUAUCAAGGAAGAUAAUGACGGUACUUGAUGAAUCAGCAUCGGCUAACUCCGUGCCAGCAGCCGCGGUAAUACGGAGGAUGCAAGCGUU